rnacentral:lncRNA from 10 species
GACACUGUCCUGUGUACCAUUGAUGUGUCCUCUCUCCCUCUACAUUCACUGGUUUAAGGUAUUACAACAAAAUAAAGGUGGAUAUAGUCGAAGGGAAAUAUGCACCAGACACAGAUUACAACAGUUCCAGGUGAAGACAAUGUUGGCAAAAGGCUUCCAACCCCUCCAACUUUCUGACCUGAAGAAUGAAAGCAUUCUGUCUCUGGGAUCCUAAGAUCAGAUCAUUGUCUGUUAAGACCCCAUCGCAGAGAAGUUAAAGAGCUUCAAUCACCAUGCUUUCAGGGUCAAUUUGUCUCCGAAAAGGAACAGAUGGGGAAGAAUUAUUCCAUUCACAGUUGACUUGUCAGAAAUUCCAAGAUCUUGGACUGGCUGAAAGCAAUGAUGUUGCCAUUCAUCCUUUCACGUAUUCAUUAUGGUCUACAGCUGAGAAGGGCUAUUUGGGGUUUGCUUUGCCUGAUGGUAGCAGAAGAAAACCAAGAGGCCUCUCUACGAAAGCUUGCAGUAAGGAGAAAGUUCUGGAGACUGGGAAGAGCAACACAAAGAUAUUCAGUUGCUUGGUGAGAGCUGCUCUCUGCUUCCAAGGCGGCACCUUGUUGCUGCAUUCUCCAAUGGGAAGGAACGCUGGGUCCUC